ACUACUGAACAGGGAUUAAUUAACUAAUAUUUAUACAGCACUUUCAACAGCAACACAUAAGUGCUAAUUAUUAUUAUUCAUCUAUUUACAGGUUUACACAUUAGUUGCGAGUUUUCAGAUAUGCAGAACCUUAUGUCAUCACAAGAAAAUGUUAAUGAUCCAUUUGGAAGAUGUUACAAAUAGGCCAAUUCUGCACACAUUUUGCAGAAAGAAGGAUUAAGCCAUGUGCAAGUUACAACAUGGUUCUGGCAGACGGGAGACGGAGGUGCCAAUGGAGAAGGUCUCCAAUCAGCUCUUACUUGUCUGCUGGGCAAGGCGUUGGAGAAGACGUUGGUUUUCUAGGUUGAAGCAAUUAUUAUUUGGUUACUGUGAGUGUACUGCCUGCCACCUGGGGAAUGAUCCAGGAGGCCCUGUCCUGCCCUGGGGAUGGAGUUAUAUAAACAGGAACAGAAAACAGAGCAAGGGAAAGAGAGGAGCAGAAGUCAGGCUGGCUGCAGCUCCUCUCAGACCCCAGGAGACCAGCCUAAAUUGACUCAGAGACUUGGGUGUGGACUGCAAGUUUGGGAGGCUUGAACCCUGGGCGUGAUGAACUGUCUAUUGUAAUGAUUCUUGGCCAGAAACCUUAUUAAAAGGGGACAUGGCAUCUGGUUAUUCUGUGUUGUCUUCUCCUUGCUUUGGGCUGUUAAAAUGGA